GUUUUGUAUCUCUCUUUCUCUCUUUCUCUUUCUAUUUUAUCAUCAGAAUUAUCACUUUUUUGGAUUAAAUAGCGCGCGUAAUUGAAAGUAUAAGAAAUUCUUAUCAAUAUUACUGAAGGAUCCUAGACUUUUUUUAUCAUAUUAAUAAAUUAUCAAAAGUGAAAAUUGUGUUAAUACAUAUGUGUCGUGUCUUCUUAAACAAUUGUUAUAUUAUUUUUGACGCACAAAGUUUAAAAGUUUAAAAAUCAACUAUACAACGGUGCUUGCUGUUUUGAUUGUUUCUUGCUCAUCCGAAGAGAAUUACCUCAAAAAAAACAGAUGAACGCGAAAGUUCAGAGAGGGAAGAUUGUUUUUGCAGGUUAAUCGCUUGAAAUACAAAUUUGCAUAGAAAAACAGCGCAAAGAGCGGGGCAUAUUGUUCGCAUCUAUGUACAAGUUUCGGAUAUUUUACGCCAGAGAACUCGCGGGCUCUUUGGCUAUUUCUCAAUUUUUGUUCACGUUUGUAAGAUAUUCUCACGGUUUGUUGCAACGACCGAUGUUGAUAAUUGUUUGUAAAAACAAAAUUCCGAAGAAAAACAUGAAUGUCUUUACUACACUUUGAAUGGUUUUCUAACAAGAUACGCUCGAUAUUACAGACGUACGCGAAAGCUAAAAGAGCGUAAACUUGAAUUUCACAUUGAACUUCAUCUCGCGUGUAAAACAGAAAAAUGGAUUUAAUAGUACAAAACAUUCUUUCUCUAAAAACCUGUUUUACAAAAGAAGUGAUAUCAAAAAGUAGCGCCAAGUAAAGUUUUGUACGUUAUUAUAUUGAAAAACAAUAUACAAUCAAGAGAAAUGCGACAAACAACAUCCCGAAAUAAAAGAGAAGAUUGAGACUGGCAUUCAACCAUUCAAGAAUCGUUUGCGUCGAAAGGAAUCGCGAUAGAACUGCUGAAGUGGCGGCUGCAAGGACUAGAAGAUUACAACAAAAAUUAGAUUACCUUCUUACAUUACGCUCAAUUUCUCUGCGAAACUGCUCUGACGGAAGAGAUACAAAUUACUUCUGAAGUCCAUCCUGGAAGCGAAAUUAAGAUUCGCGGCAGCUUUUUAAAUACUUGUGAAUUCUCCGAAAGUUAUACUUGCCCUCAGAAAACUCCAAUGAAUCUAAAGAAGUGUGCCUUUUGGUUCUAAGCCAAAGAAAUGUAGAAGCAACGUAUCUACAAAUUUGUGAACGAGAUAUUCCUUCUGUAACAAACAUUUUGUAAAAUUUACAAUUAGUAUAUUUCUAGAUAUACAUACUGAACUCUGUGAAACCUCGGGAAUUACAGUAAAAUAACGAUUUUUUUUGGAUUAAAAAAAAAUUAAUAGUUUCAGAUGCACAAUUUUUGGUAUAUUUAGUAUGAUUUUAGACUACUUGUAAUGGGCGUAAUGUUUAGAUCAUUUACGAUCUAUUAAAAAGAAAAUUAAUCACAAUACUGUAGAUUUUUUGAUGCUUUAUGAUAGAAAGACUAAUUAAAAUUCCUCAGAACUCAGUAUGAUAUAUUUAUGCGUACAAAACACAAGUGAAUAUUUAUAUGUAAAUCUUUAUAAUGUAAUACAUAUAUGCUUGUAAAGAAAGACAUGUGCAAUAAUAUAUUUCCAUAUAAUAUAUUUCUUUUGCAUGAAAAAAAUCUUUCUUUGCAUGAAAAAAAUUUCUAUCUGAAAUCGUUUCGAACUUUUUCAUUGUAUGUAAGGUAAAAACGUU